AUUCAACGGUGAGACUUUCUCAACUCCAAGCCUGAGCGAGACCGAAGAGUCUUACAACAACUACGAGGAGAACUACCCGAAGAAGACCGAGAGCUACGACAACAACCGUUACAACAACGAAGAGUUCAACAACAAGUACGAUGAAAACUUCAAGGAAGAGUUCAACAACAACAAGUACGACGAAAACGUCAAGGAAGAGUUCAACAACAACAAGUACGACGAAAACUUCAAGGAAGAGUUCAACAACAACAAGUACGAUGAAAACGUCAAGGAAGAGUUCAACAACAACAAGUACGAUGAAAACGUUAAGGAAGAGUCAUUCUCUGAGAACAAUGAAGACAAGAGAGGUAUCUACAACUCCAACGCUUACGGAACGGAGCAAGAGCGUGAAACGCCGUA
rnacentral:lncRNA from 1 species